ACUCCUACGGGAGGCAGCAGUGGGGAAUAUUGCACAAUGGGCGCAAGCUGAUGCAGCGACGCCGCGUGAGGGAUGACGGCCUUUCGGGUUGUAAACCUCUUUCAGUAGGGAAGAAGCGAAAGUGACGGUACCUGCAGAAGAAGCACCGGCUAACUACGUGCCAGCAGCCGCGGUAAUACGUAGGGUGCGAGCGUUAUCCGGAAUUAUUGGGCGUAAAGAGCUCGUAGGCGGUUUGUCGCGUCUGUCGUGAAAGUCCGGGGCUUAACCCCGGAUCUGCGGUGGGUACGGGCAGACUAGAGUGCAGUAGGGGAGACUGGAAUUCCUGGUGUAGCGGUGGAAUGCGCAGAUAUCAGGAGGAACACCGAUGGCGAAGGCAGGUCUCUGGGCUGUAACUGACGCUGAGGAGCGAAAGCAUGGGGAGCGAACAGGAUUAGAUACCCUGGUAGUCCAUGCCGUAAACGUUGGGCACUAGGUGUGGGGACCAUUCCACGGUUUCCGCGCCGCAGCUAACGCAUUAAGUGCCCCGCCUGGGGAGUACGGCCGCAAGGCUAAAACUCAAAGGAAUUGACGGGGGCCCGCACAAGCGGCGGAGCAUGCGGAUUAAUUCGAUGCAACGCGAAGAACCUUACCAAGGCUUGACAUGUUCUCGAUCGCCGUAGAGAUACGGUUUCCCCUUUGGGGCGGGUUCACAGGUGGUGCAUGGUUGUCGUCAGCUCGUGUCGUGAGAUGUUGGGUUAAGUCCCGCAACGAGCGCAACCCUCGUUCCAUGUUGCCAGCACGUAAUGGUGGGGACUCAUGGGAGACUGCCGGGGUCAACUCGGAGGAAGGUGAGGACGACGUCAAAUCAUCAUGCCCCUUAUGUCUUGGGCUUCACGCAUGCUACAAUGGCCGGUACAAUGGGUUGCGAUACUGUGAGGUGGAGCUAAUCCCAAAAAGCCGGUCUCAGUUCGGAUUGGGGUCUGCAACUCGACCCCAUGAAGUCGGAGUCGCUAGUAAUCGCAGAUCAGCAAC
rnacentral:rRNA from 1 species